CCAUAAACGAUAUGAUUUGAAAUUUUGUUGGAAAGACGUACAAAAAGAAAAAACCAAAGACAAAGACGUCACACCUUGUUAUAUAUCAUCAUCAUUUCACAAGCUUCACUUCCACGUCUCUUUUUCCCUAACCUUACCAAGUUUUGUUUUUCUUUCAUUUUAGUCCCUUCAUUUUCAAUCCUUUCCCAAACUUAAACAUUUCUUCCUUAAUUGUUAGCAAAAUUAAGAGUAUAACUCCAUAGUAAGCUUAUCAUCUUGCAAAGCUAGUUAAUAGCCAUUUUAGGAGGAGAAAGAAAAAUGAAGAAAGUUAGGGAUUUAAGAUGUGUUGUGUAAUGAAGAGAAGGAGAAGAAGAGUGAAUAUCAAGUGGGUGAGAAGGGUAAGGAGAUAGCAAACAAGUGAAGAAAGAAAGAAGGGGUACUUCAUUUCAAGCAAUUUUUAUUGUAAGUAUUUCAAGAAUUUAUUUUACUUGAUUUAAACCCUAUUUAAAAACAUGAUAAAUUGGUUAAGUAACGUUCAUGUAAUAUGUUUUGUUGUUAAAAAAAUAUGUUGUAUUUUGGAAAUUAUUUCAAAAUAAAACAGUAUUAAUAUAAUGCAUUGAAA